rnacentral:rRNA from 1 species
UACGAAGGGGGCUAGCGUUGCUCGGAAUCACUGGGCGUAAAGCGCACGUAGGCGGAUUGCUAAGUCAGGGGUGAAAUCCUGGAGCUCAACUCCAGAACUGCCUUUGAUACUGGCGACCUUGAGUCCGGGAGAGGUGAGUGGAACUGCGAGUGUAGAGGUGAAAUUCGUAGAUAUUCGCAAGAACACCAGUGGCGAAGGCGGCUCACUGGCCCGGUACUGACGCUGAGGCGCGAAAGCUAGGGGAGCAAACAGG